UGGGGAAUAUUGCACAAUGGAGGGAACUCUGAUGCAGCAACGCCGCGUGCGGGAUGACGGCCUUCGGGUUGUAAACCGCUUUCAGCCAUGACGAAGCUUUUGUGACGGUAGUGGUAGAAGAAGCACCGGCUAACUACGUGCCAGCAGCCGCGGUGAUACGUAGGGUGCGAGCGUUGUCCGGAAUUAUUGGGCGUAAAGAGCUUGUAGGCGGUUUGUCGCGUCGAUAGUGUAAACACGCAGCUUAACUGUGUGCCUGCUGUCGAUACGGGCUGACUAGAGGAGGGUAGAGGAGAAUGGAAUUCCCGGUGGAGCGGUGGGAUGCGCAGAUAUCGGGAGGAACACCAGUGGCGAAGGCGGUUCUCUGGACCUUUCCUGACGCUGAGAAGCGAAAGCGUGGGUAGCAAACAGG
rnacentral:rRNA from 1 species